CCACAAUCUUACAAUCAUGUGUCUAACACCUUAACCAGUUAGCCACAUGACUCCACCAAGGACCACUAACCUGUGAUAACCCUCAGCCUCAUCAAACAAGUGCAUGAAGUAAGUAAAGCCUACCAUGCACAAUGAUAAAUAAGUGAUUUUUCUUUUAUUAUUUUCACCCUAGCUUCUAGCUAACCAAAGCCUUGUUAGUAAAAUUAAGGGAACUACAAGAAUCCACUAGAUGGGUCAUUUCUGUUCUUAUAUGGUAGAAUUGCCCAGAUUAAAACUACUACUUAGCUUCAGUGGAGUCUGUUUUAUUACUAGUAUUUGAACCAGGCCUUCUGUCUGCAUAUAACUUCCUCAGUCUCAGUAAUGCCUGAUAAGAGUCAUCGGAGCAGUCUUUAUCUUCUAAGACAUUAAAGCAACAAUAAGGAAAAAAAAUUGAACAAAAUAAGACAAUGGAGUAUGAUUUGAGGAAGAUUUGGUUGCUAUUUCUAACAGAUUGGGUUUCUAGCUAGAGGCUUCCUCAUUAGUUUUGAUGAUAUUAAGAAUAGAAAAGUGAAACUACAUGCACACACAUGCACAUGUACACACACACAUGCACUCACACACACACACAUGUUGACAGUCGUUUAGAAUUAUCAUUAUCAGCUAACUUAACAAUUAAGUUGUUAACGAGCCAGCAAGGGACCAACUAUAUAGUUACGUAGAAAAACCGACCGGCUAGAAAUAACAGCCAAAUCUUUAACAACAUCACAUCCAAGCAGUCAUCUUAAAUGACACUAUCCAUGGAACCUUUUACAUGGUUACUCAACUGGCUAGAAAGAGCAACCAAAUUUUGCUCGGAUCAUAUGCUACUAUGUUGAGAAAAGGAAGGAAACUUUGGACAAUACAGUCAUGACUGGAAAGCCUCUCAUCAUUGGACUACAGCAGAAACAUUGCUAUUUAACGACAGCAAAAUCUUUCAUGAAGGAAAGGGAAGAAAAUCUACAAUACAGUAGUAAACGGGAGAAAGAAAAAUGAACAGAAAGAGCGACUGAAGUAGAAGAGAAAUAAAGCAGGCCAGAUGAGAAGUAGGCUACAUGAGACUUGAGCCAUAAUCAAGUGGGCUGCACUGCUAAAAAUUAUAAAGAUUCCAGAGAAAUUUACCCGGAAGAUAUGAAGAUGCAAGAACCAAUACAAAAUGAGCUAUCACCUACAGAAACAUAACAGGGAUGAAAUAUCCUCUCAAAAAUAUUAACUAAAUGUUAACUAAAAAAUAUGAAUGUAAUAAAAAUUAAAAUAUUAAAAUUCCAA
rnacentral:lncRNA from 1 species